ACAGUUAAAAAAGAAGCACCACCUGAGCCUGCAGUUGCACCGCCAGCAAAGAAAGUUCCUCCUGCUGAAGUUAAAAAAGAAGCACCACCUGAGCCUGCAGUUGCACCGCCAGCAAAGAAAGUUCCUCCUGCUGAAGGUA